GACGAACGCUGGCGGCGUGCUUAACACAUGCAAGUCGAACGGAAAGGCCCUGCUUGCAGGGUACUCGAGUGGCGAACGGGUGAGUAAAACGUGGGUGAUCUGCCCUGCACUUCGGGAUAAGCCUGGGAAACUGGGGCUAAUACCGGAUAGGAGCCAUCUUUAGUGUGAUGGUUGGAAAGUUUUUUCGGUGUAGGAUGAGCUCGCGGCCUAUCAGCUUGUUGGUGGGGUAAUGGCCUACCAAGGCGGCGGCGGGUAGCCGGCCUGAGAGGGUGGACGGCCACAUUGGGACUGAGAUACGGCCCAGACUCCUACGGGAGGCAGCAGUGGGGAAUAUUGCACAAUGGGCGCAAGCCUGAUGCAGCGACGCCGCGUGGGGGAUGACGGCCUUCGGGUUGUAAACUCCUUUCGCUAGGGACGAAGCUUUUUGUGACGGUACCUAGAGAAGAAGCACCGGCUAACUACGUG
rnacentral:rRNA from 1 species